UGAUCGUUGAUGCUAAUCAGCAUGUUUUGAAUCUGAGAGUAAAUAGAGCCGAAUAAAACUCUAAAAAUGAAGGGUUCAACUGGAGUUGUUGUCAGAUCCCCUAAGAACCGUAGGGUUCUUGGUCAAUGAAAAACAGCCCCAAAAGGUUCUUCAAAGAGCUUGUUAGAAGGUGGGUUCAUCGAGGAACCUCCGUUGUUGCUGGACUUCUUCCGGGAACUUCGUAAUUACAACUGAAAACGAUGGUGACAAGUUUGGAUGCAACAACAAGUUAGAAAGGACAGAACAUGGACACACUGCAAUUGGGAUCAAGAAGAAGAUCUUCUCAGAAAUUAAUCAAGUCCAUGGAAUGGAUAUAGACAAAAAUAUAAUUCAAGGACUAGCGGAGGUAGAGAGGCGAGGCAGGGGUGAGGACAUCUUCCUGCUAUUUUGACAGUCCCUGAAGGACAAUACAGAAGAGGACUGGAGACCACAGCAGCGAUUCUGCUCUUGCCCAACAUCUUCAAUGAGGACCCGAGUGGCCUUUACGCCCGUGACAAGAUUUCACCGCUCUUCAAUCCUUUACUGCACAUCGGCGGAAAUCCAUUUCACCAUGAGAGUGAAAUCCCGCUGGCCUUUGAUGGGGAGAACAUCCACGCCCUCGAGGACGUCCCCAUGGGACUUGGGGCUCUGCUAGUGCUGGAUUUUUUAUUUUCCCUUAAAUUUCAGAAAAACACAUGUUCUUAAGUUUACUGUGCUCUGGGGAUGAGAGGGAUUAAUGAAAUAGCGGCCACAACAGACAGACCUGAUAUCGCCCAUAAUUCGAUGUCACGUGCUGACUGGGUAUGACCAAAGUUAUUCUAUUUAGCUUCACUUUGUAGUACAUUUUUACACGAUAAUAAAUGUUUCUGAUGCCACAUC